AAAAAUAUUUGAAUCUGAAAUGUGUGAUUCCUACCCCAACAAACUGAUUUGGUGCAGAACAGGGUUCAUCUAUUCACUCAAGCUUUUGCCUGAGGAGAGGAGACUGAGGGAAAUCAAGCCUGUUCUUGGAUCACAGUCUAUUUGGCUUGACGUUGUCACUGUCUGGAAUGCUUUGCCUGAAAGCUUCUCGCCAAAAGAAGUUGGAGUUUAAAUCAGAACCAGAAGUUUUGUCUGGUAAAAGUAGUGAUUAAUUUUUUUA